rnacentral:rRNA from 1 species
GUCGUAACAAGGUUUCCGUAGGUGAACCGGCGGAAGGAUCAUUA